rnacentral:hammerhead_ribozyme from 1 species
AUCCGGUGAUUAGUCCCAAAUAGGACGAAAUGUGCGUCCUGGAU